AGUGUCAAGGGAUGGGAAUCGAACCCACGACCUUCCUCUUACCGGGCAGAUGCCAUGACCACUAGGCCACAUGACC
rnacentral:tRNA from 1 species